AGGGCCUCCCAGGGCUUCAGGGCAUGAGGGGAAAGAGCGGUAGUCCAGGGCAGAAGGGAGAAGCUGGCCUCAGAGGACUUACUGGACCAGAGGGGCCAUCGGGGAGGAAAGGGAAACAAGGCCGUGCUGGCCCCAAAGGCAAAAGAGGACCUAAAGGAAUACAGGUAA